UAUUGUAUAGUGAAGAUAAUUGGGUGCAAAAUAUUAUGAUAAUGGAAUUUAUCAAUAAUGCAACAUGUGGAAUUGUGGAUCACUGGAUUGGAAAUGGAAUCACAUUCUCUUUUUCUUUUUUCUUUUUUCUUUUUAUUUUUUUAAUUAUUGGGUGGUAAGUAAAAUGGUAAAUACUUCUAAUUGUGGAAAUUUAGGUAAGUUGUUAUCGUCACUUUAUUUAUUAUUUAAUGGCUGAGAAUUGGGAUGUCUUGUUGUACACUCUCACCUUUAGAUAUAAAAUUUAAAU